AUGAGAAAGAACUUUUGGGCUUCGAGGACUUUUUGGGCUAUCCAUUUUUCUGUAAGCAAAAUAAAGAUGGGAAAACUAGCCAGAUUGAAAGGAAUGUUAAGUAGAUUGAAGGGCACAAGGCGUUAAUAAAAAAUGAAGAGGAUCGAUAGCGGGCGCGCUGAGAGUUGCUCGA
ensembl:ncRNA F09F9.16 ncRNA